AACGAACGCUGGCGGCAGGCUUAACACAUGCAAGUCGAACGCCCCGCAAGGGGAGUGGCAGACGGGUGAGUAACGCGUGGGAAUCUACCCAGAUCUACGGAACAACAGUUGGAAACGACUGCUAAUACCGUAUACGCCCUACGGGGGAAAGAUUUAUCGGAAUUAGAUGAGCCCGCGUAAGAUUAGCUAGUUGGUGGGGUAAUGGCCUACCAAGGCGACGAUCUCUAGCUGGUCUGAGAGGAUGAUCAGCCACACUGGGACUGAGACACGGCCCAGACUCCUACGGGAGGCAGCAGUGGGGAAUAUUGGACAAUGGGCGCAAGCCUGAUCCAGCCAUGCCGCGUGAGUGAUGAAGGCCUUAGGGUUGUAAAGCUCUUUCACCGAUGAAGAUAAUGACGGUAGUCGGAGAAGAAGCCCCGGCUAACUUCGUGCCAGCCGCCGCAGUAAGAC
rnacentral:rRNA from 1 species